rnacentral:rRNA from 1 species
ACGUUCGACACCUACUGGAGGCAGCAGUGGGGAAUAUUGCACAAUGGGGGAAACCCUGAUGCAGCAACGCCGCGUGAAGGAAGACGGUUUUCGGAUUGUAAACUUCUGUUCUUAGUGAAGAUAGUGACGGUAGCUAAGGAGCAAGCCACGGCUAACUACGUGCAAGCAGCCGCGGUAAUCUGAGCGGGCUGGCAAGGC